UACGGAGGAUCCGAGCGUUAUCCGGAUUUAUUGGGUUUAAAGGGAGCGUAGAUGGAUGUUUAAGUCAGUUGUGAAAGUUUGCGGCUCAACCGUAAAAUUGCAGUUGAUACUGGAUGUCUUGAGUGCAGUUGAGGCAGGCGGAAUUCGUGGUGUAGCGGUGAAAUGCUUAGAUAUCACGAAGAACUCCGAUUGCGAAGGCAGCCUGCUAAGCUGCAACUGACAUUGAGGCUCGAAAGUGUGGGUAUCAAACAGGAUUAGAUACCCGGGUCUGACUGACU
rnacentral:rRNA from 1 species